rnacentral:rRNA from 1 species
GAUUAACGCUGGCGGCGUGCUUAACACAUGCAAGUCGAACGAUGAAAGUGGAGCUUGCUCCGCUGGAUUAGUGGCGAACGGGUGAGUAACACGUGGGCAACCUGCCCCAGACUCUGGGAUAACUCCUCGAAAGAGGUGCUAAUACCGGAUACGAACUCCUUGGGCAUCCUUGGAGUUGGAAAGUUUUUCGGUCUGGGAUGGGCCCGCGGCCUAUCAGCUUGUUGGUGGGGUAGUGGCCCACCAAGGCGACGACGGGUAGCCGGCCUGAGAGGGCGACCGGCCACACUGGGACUGAGACACGGCCCAGCCUCCUACGGGAGGCAGCAGUGGGGAAUAUUGCGCAAUGGGCGAAAGCCUGACGCAGCGACGCCGCGUGAGGGAUGACGGCCUUCGGGUUGUAAACCUCUUUCAGCAGGGAAGAAGCGAAAGUGACGGUACCUGCAGAAGAAGCACCGGCUAACUACGUGCCAGCAGCCGCCGUAA